GAUGAACGCUGGCGGCGUGCCUAAUACAUGCAAGUCGAGCGAACGGACGAGAAGCUUGCUUCUCUGAUGUUAGCGGCGGACGGGUGAGUAACACGUGGAUAACCUACCUAUAAGACUGGGAUAACUUCGGGAAACCGGAUCUAAUACCGGAUAAUAUUUUUAACCGCAUGGCUCAAAAGUUAAAGACGGUCUUUCUGUCACUUAUAGAUGGAUCCGCGCUGCAUUAGCUAGUUGGUAAGGUAACGGCUUACCAAGGCAACGAUGCAUAGCCGACCUGAGAGGGUGAUCGGCCACACUGUAACCGAGACACGGUCCAGACUCCUACGGGAAGGAGCAGUAGGGAAUCUUCCGCCAUUGGCGCAAACCUGACGGAGCAACGACGCGUGAGUGAUGAAGGUCUUAGGAUCGUAAAACUCUGUUAUUAGGGAAGAACAUAUGUGUAAGUAACUGUGCACAUCUUGACGGUACCUACUCAGAAAGCCACGGCUAACUACGUG
rnacentral:rRNA from 1 species